GAGAUUCUCAUGGACAGAGGAAUCUGGUGGGCUAUAGUCCACGGGUCGCACAGAGUCAGACAUGACUGAGCACACAGCAUGCGUGAUAAUGACCACUUACAGAACUGUUACUAUUACUCACUUUCCUUGCUUCGUUUUAAACAAGUUGUUCUUUUCUUUUGGUUGUGCCCCAGUGCAUGGGGGCAUCUUAGUUCUCCACCAGGACAUGCUCUCUGCAGUGCCCUAACCAGCGAUGGCCAGCCAGAGCAUUCCCUGCUUCAUUUAAUUUCCUCCCCAAGCUUGCACAUUGAGUUUAUUGGAUUCCUUUUGCAGCUGGGUCCACAGAGGUGAAAUGAUUCACCCAGGGUCACACAGGUGGAAACUGGCAGAGCCGGGAGUUGGAACUAGGUUCAUCUGGUUCCAAAAAUUAAGCUUCCUUCCUUUUGCACCAAGGAGCAGGGGCUUUUCCUAAUGCUUGGUGACGCUAUUGAGAGAUAACCACUAUCAUCUGUUGUAUCUACUCUGUAUGGAAAGCCACACACUUUGCUGCCAUCCCUGAUCUCAGGAGACGUUCCCAGCAACCCUUUAGGAAUUUCUGGAGGUCAUGCUCAAGAAUUGGGAACGGCAAAUGCGUUUUGGCUUUUUCAUCAAGAUGAAUUGAUUCCUAAUGGCCACUUGGAAGCACAGAGUUGAGAAGGAUUUGCUCAGUGGGAAAGACUGUCCGCCAUCGAUUGGUGCUGUCUGCCAUCCU